rnacentral:rRNA from 1 species
CCUACGGGAGGCAGCAGUGGGGAAUUUUGGACAAUGGGCGAAAGCCUGAUCCAGCAAUGCCGCGUGAGUGAAGAAGGCCUUCGGGUUGUAAAGCUCUUUUGUCAGGGAAGAAACGGUGAGGGCUAAUAUCCCUUGCUAAUGACGGUACCUGAAGAAUAAGCACCGGCUAACUACGUGCCAGCAGCCGCGGUAAUACGUAGGGUGCAAGCGUUAAUCGGAAUUACUGGGCGUAAAGCGUGCGCAGGCGGUUUUGUAAGUCUGUCGUGAAAUCCCCGGGCUCAACCUGGGAAUUGCGAUGGAGACUGCAAGGCUAGAAUCUGGCAGAGGGGGGUAGAAUUCCACGUGUAGCAGUGAAAUGCGUAGAGAUGUGGAGGAACACCGAUGGCGAAGGCAGCCCCCUGGGUCAAGAUUGACGCUCAUGCACGAAAGCGUGGGGAGCAAACAGGAUUAGAUACCCUGGUAGUCCACGCCCUAAACGAUGUCUACUAGUUGUCGGGUUUUAAUAACUUGGUAACGCAGCUAACGCGUGAAGUAGACCGCCUGGGGAAUACGGUCGCAAGAUUAAAACUUAAAUGAUUGACGG